rnacentral:rRNA from 1 species
GACAGAGGUGCCAAGCGUUAGGCGGAAUCACUGGGCGUAAAGGGUGCGUAGGCGGGUCUUUAAGUCAGGGGUGAAAUCCUGGAGCUCAACUCCAGAACUGCCUUUGAUACUGAGGAUCUUGAGUUCGGGAGAGGUGAGUGGAACUGCGAGUGUAGAGGUGAAAUUCGUAGAUAUUCGCAAGAACACCAGUGGCGAAGGCGGCUCACUGGCCCGAUACUGACGCUGAGGUGCGAAAGCGUGGGGAGCAAACAGG